CAGAGCAUAGCUUAACACAGCUAUAGCAUCUCCUUUACACUGAGAAGAUACCUGUGCAAACCAGGUUGCCCUGA
rnacentral:tRNA from 1 species